AGGAGUUGCGGUGGAAGACCCGGCGAGCCCGAACAAGCUCCGCCUACUGAUCAAGGACUACCCCUUCGCCGUCGACGGCCUGGCAAUCUGGUCUGCGAUCGAGACUUGGGUCACCGAGUACUGCUCCAUCUACUACAGCAACGACGCGGCGAUCCGGGCCGAUGUCGAGCUGCAGGCCUGGUGGAAGGAGGUCCGCGAGGUCGGCCACGGCGACAAGAAGGACGAGGAUUGGUGGCCCAAGAUGCAGACCCUGGCGGAGCUGGCCAAGACCUGUACCACCAUCAUCUGGGUGGCCUCCGCCCUGCACGCGGCGGUCAACUUCGGGCAGUACCCCUACGCUGGCUACCUCCCCAACCGGCCCACCAUCAGUCGGCGGUUCAUGCCCGAGCCGGGCACGCCGGAGUACCACGAGCUGGAGAAGAACCCGGACCUAGCGUUCCUGAAGACCAUCACCAGCCAGUUCCAGACCAUCCUCGGCGUGUCACUCAUCGAGGUCCUGUCGCGCCACUCCUCCGACGAGGUGUACCUUGGGCAAAGGGACUCGCCGGAGUGGACCACGGACCGCAGCGCGCUCGAGGCGUUCGAGCGAUUUAGCCAUAAGUUGAUCGAGAUCGAGAAUCGGAUCAUAAGCAUGAACCAGGACGCGAGCCUGAGGAAUCGCACCGGCCCGGUUAAGAUGCCCUACACGCUGCUCUACCCCAACGUCUCCGACUUGACCGGCGUCGGCGGGCUCACUGGACGGGGAAUCCCCAACAGCGUCUCCAUCUGAGCUCGGGGAUUCGAUGUGCGUUUGGUUUGGCCAGUGCGGCAGUGUCGAAUAUGUCACAAUAAGAGUGUGCUUCCGGUGUGAGGAACUCUCGAGAAAGUGAAUCUGAAGAGGGAUUGCAUGUGUAUUUUGUGUGUGUGUGUUGUUUACAUCUCAAUCUCUUGCAUAGGAGGAAACGCAAUUAGGAUAGUAAAUAAAAUCCAUCUCGUUUAUUGUAAGAUUUUGACGGAUUUAGGGAACAUCAAAUCCUAUCUUAUGAUAAGAAUCAUCAUAAUGAACAUGACGAGGAUAAUAAUGGCGACAAGACUCUGGCUGACGUCAGUUGCCCCAGAUGACGUCUCAAGCCUUGAUCGACCCGACAACACCUGGUCAAACGGACCAGAACACCGAUCGAGACGCAUUAACGUCCUGCUCAGGCCCGGUCGUCCACGCCACGCCAACACCAGUGUCGUAUGCUACCAGGAGUACGAGCCUGCCCCCUGCAAGCGGGCAUAUCAGGAAACAUGAAGCUUCCCUAUAAAUACCCUCGCGUCCUGAACAGGGAGGGAAAGGAAGAGAGGAAGACACAACUUAGCUAAAGAAACCCCCUGCGACUAUCCACUAACUUGAUCAUCGGAUGGGUCAGGUCGAGCUCCCCGACCUGACCUUUGUGCAGGUGCGAAGCCGGAGGUCCCCGCUGAACGCGCAGGCGAGGAGUCCUCCCCCGGUGGAAACGACUGCCCCGUCC
rnacentral:lncRNA from 1 species